GGUGAUGGCUCAGAGGUAGAGUGCUCACCUAGCAUGUGUGAGGCACUGGGUUCAAUCCUCAGCACCA
rnacentral:tRNA from 1 species